GGAAGCACUGAGGAAGGUGGAUAUGUCUGAGAUGUUGGUCUUUCUGGGGGUUUUUUUGUUCCCUUUCUAGAAUUAAAAUAGACCAUGGUUAGAUGGUGCCAGUGAAACUUGGCUGUGGGAUGACUUCCAACUCUGAAUAGUCGUUUUAAAAAGCAUCUGGAGAGAUGAGAAGUGCCACUGGUAGCCUCUGAAAGGGCGUCCUUUCGUACCGCACUCCUGUAGGUCACCCAUCGGCUCGGGGUCUGGGCAGGGAGGGCAGUGAGGUGGUGAGCAUGGCAAGUGUCUGCUUUGGGACUGGGGCUGCAGUUGUGUUGGGCUGGUGUGGGCAGGCAAUUCCCUUUGCUAUCCCAGCUUGGAGCACUUGCAUAUCUAUUCCUCUUUAAUUGCUGUAGACCAUUAACUCUGAAAUGCCUCUGUGUCUCUUGUUUGGGUUUAACUUGCAACUGGCUGAUGCUCUGUGAGCAGCUUAAGCAACAAUGUGAAUCCUUCACCCUCCAAAUCCAAAGUCAGAGACCUCUUGAAUGAGGUUUUUGGAGGCCAAACUGAAGUAGUUUUGGUUCAAGAGCUGGACUUUCUUUUCCAUGCUAACUAGAGCAACCUCAUGGAUCUGUUUGUGACAUCCCUCCUUUCUUCCCUCGUCUCCUGGUGGAUACUGGAAAAAACUGUCUCAUGGCUCAGGGUGCAUCCAGCAGUCCCGCAAGCAGGUGGUGCUGCAGAGCAGCAGAACAGCACACACUUCCAUGUGCAGCCUUACCUCUGCAUCCAGAGCUCUUCAUUCUCAUCCCAAACCUCCGCUUUGGGUAUCAUAUCUCUUGAAAACCAAAAAGCAAAACAUUUCUAGGAAAUUCCAACUUAACCUUAAUCCUCCUGCGUCUGACUUCCCACCACUGCUGGAGCUGGUGGCUGUAGGAAACCCUGAGAUGGUGCUGGCAGGCCUAGCUUGUGUGGGACACUGGAGCCGUUAUGGUGUCAGCAGAAGU